AAACAAGAAAGUCUUCCUAAAUGGGGUGUAAUCUGGGUUUUGAAAUAUAUCAGAUUUUUAAUAUAAUUUUAUAUAACUUAUAAACAUUGGGAUCCUUUGUGUAACCAAUGAUGAUUUUCCCUUUUCAAAUUGUAAAGAUUUAUAGGACUGUAGUUGUAUUUAUGACAUGAAAUAGAUGUUUAUUAAAUAGUAUGACAACAUACUUCAAGCCAAGUUUUAUAU
rnacentral:lncRNA from 1 species